AGAGGAUGAUGAGGGGGCGGAGGAGGCAGCACCUCCUUGCUGUGUGUGUGCUGAUGGUUGUCGCUGGAGGUUUUCUGAAGUCGAGGGUCACCAAUCUCCCAGCAGACAGACCUCUAAUCAGGAGGAGACUGCUGCAUGUCACACUCCAAUCCGUGGCUGCUGUCAGCAAUAUGCUGUGUCACCCUGGAUCUUCUUAUUCUAGUCAUCCACUGGUGCAAGAGAGGAACCAGACAGCAGUUUUCCAGUUUUUCUACAGACACUCAAAGCCUUUUAGGCGGCACACAAACCCCGGCAGAGGAUAACGCUGUCAUGAAGAGACAAAGAAAACAGCAAGUUCACUUAUCAGCACAAACAAAAACUAAAGAUGUCCAGAAGAUGACUGAAAUGGGCUGUUACAUGGAUGUCAGUGUUCAACCUCCAAGAAAAGAGGUGAUGACCAAGGACCAACUUUUUGAUGGAAAGGUGCGAGUGAUCAGAGUCAGCAGUUUCUGCUCCUCAGAUACAUCCUAUGACUCGUCAGUAGUGAGUUCUGAUCUAGAGGUAGGUUAAGUAAAAUCAUCUUGACCAUUUUGUCACAGAAACAGGGUGACAUUUUCUUAAAAAAAGGACGAGGUGAAGGUUCAAAAUACACUGAUACUGCAGAAGCUGCACAAGACAUGUUUCUGUUAUCAACAAUCCUAUUAAGA